rnacentral:lncRNA from 1 species
AUGUCCCCUCCGAGCCUCCGUUUCCCCUUUCCGGCGAGCGCGGGGAGGAACCGCGUCUGGAUCAGCGUGGGCGCGCCUGCGCUUGUAGAUUUCUCCCUCGCGCAAGUGCGCUGCACCCAGCGAUGCAUUUUCUCUACGCGGUUUUCCUUCAGAGCCGCGUCUAGUCUUUGGGCUCGAAUGCUACCAAACGGUAUUGUCUCGACGAGAAAGCUGGCUCAUGGAAGGAAUUCAUUUCUAGACGCUCUGGCAUCAGAAUCAGCCGGGCAAGAUCAGACCCGAAUACCUGCGCUGUCUCUCUACCUACGCGGUGCUCCAGAGAACUUGCGGCGAAGCGGGAGCUACGCACAUCAGGGGGAAUCGUCAGUGAUGCCCAUCAGCAGGAUAUCGGGCCGUUGGAGGAAUUGUAAGCAGCUGUCACCCAAGGCAGGUGAUUCACAGGAAAAUGGAACCACAGGAAAUUGGCAAGCUUCAUAAAACGUCACACAGCCUUCUGCUGAAACCCACACACCUGCCCACCUACAGGAUGAUAACUGUCCCUGCUUCCCUCCCACCUUCCACAUCCGAUGCGAGUUCCUGCCUCUGGCGGAAUCGAAAUAAUAAUCCGGCGGACGAGGAAGCCUGCAAAAUAUCAUUCUAGGGCUCCUUACAGCCAACGUACAGAGGAAAGCUUAGAAGCAGGAAGGUGCCAGCGGUCCCACUGGUCCUCACGGACCGUGGAUUCUGUAUUUGCAAAUUCACCCACUCACUCUCUAAAAUGUAUUUGUAACCCCCAGGGCAGUAUUCAAAGUACAUUCACGGUCACUUGCUGGUGUGUGCAGAGAAGCAAAAACGUUGGUUCCCCCAAUGUACAGCUCAGGCUAUGUAUUCACCCAGUGUCCCAGCUCCGGCUGAACAAGGGGACACUCUGCCUCCUUGUUUCAGACCUCAGGCCAUUUUUCAGGGUCUGUUGAGUGCCAUUUUUUUUUUCUUCGCGUUUUUGGUUUGUUUUUUUGGUGGUGGUGGUGGCGGUAAUUUUGUUACUUAAAAUGGUUCCCGAGCACAGUGUCAGAGAGCCGUCUAGAAGAAGGUUGUGAUGUGUUAGACAGCCUUGGUGAAGGCAGGAGUUAUAGCACUGUUCAGUGGUAGUGAAUAAACAGUAUAGACCAACCGAGGUGUCUUUAAAC